AGCUGGUGCUCCCGGGCGAAGAGGAGGCGCGCGCGCCUGGAGCGCUGUGCCUACGCGCCCCCGCCUGGGGCUAUAAAAGCCUAGCCACCUGCUGCCGCUAGUGCGUCCAAUUGCCCGAGAAGCCAACUCAACCUCCUCCGGCGGCAGCUCCUCUUGACAUGGAUCCUGAGACCUGCCCCUGCCCUACUGGCGGCUCCUGCACCUGCGCUGACUCCUGCAAGUGUGAGGGAUGCAAAUGCACCUCCUGCAAGAAGAGCUGCUGCUCCUGCUGCCCCGCAGAGUGUGAGAAAUGCGCCAAGGAUUGUGUGUGUAAAGGCGGAGAGGGCGCCGAAGCUGAGGGGAAGUGCAGCUGCUGCCAGUGAGGACGUGCCCCGUGCGAAACGUGUGUAAAUAGUGCUGGUGGCCCAGCGCCACCUGUCCCCGUGGUGAGGCUCGGCAGCGUGGCCCCUUCCCCUGCUAGCCACUGGCAAGUGACAAUAAAUCCUAUGAAUGACAUAAA